rnacentral:tRNA from 1 species
UUAUUUGUAGUUCAAUUGGUUAGAGCACCCAUUUAGUAAAUGGGAGGUCUCGAGUUCAACUCUCUAUGAGAUCAA